rnacentral:rRNA from 1 species
GAUGAACGCUGGCGGCGUGCUUAACACAUGCAAGUCGAACGAUGAAGCCCAGCUUGCUGGGUGGAUUAGCGGCGAACGGGUGAGUAACACGUGAGUAACCUGCCCUUAACUCUGGGAUAAGCCUGGGAAACUGGGUCUAAUACCGGAUAGGAGCGUCCACCGCAUGGUGGGUGUUGGAAAGAUUUAUCGGUUUUGGAUGGACUCGCGGCCUAUCAGCUUGUUGGUGAGGUAAUGGCUCACCAAGGCGACGACGGGUAGCCGGCCUGAGAGGGUGACCGGCCACACUGGGACUGAGACACGGCCCAGACUCCUACGGGAGGCAGCAGUGGGGAAUAUUGCACAAUGGGCGCAAGCCUGAUGCAGCGACGCCGCGUGAGGGAUGACGGCCUUCGGGUUGUAAACCUCUUUCAGUAGGGAAGAAGCGAAAGUGACGGUACCUGCAGAAGAAGCACCGGCUAACUACGUG